CAUGUGAUGUCUCUGCAUCUCUCGCUACUCCUGAAAUACACAAAGUAACGAAUCGAAGUUAGGGUUUCAAAUUUGUUAAUCAGAGAUGGCGAUGGCUGCUUUGAGGCGUGAAGGAAGGCGAUUCGUCGUCGUUUCGCCUAAUCUUCUCAGAUCUUCCCUGCUCCCAUCUGAACAGGAACAAGUUUCUCUGGGAGUUCGUAGUAUUUCAACUCAAAUCGUUCGUAACCGGAUGAAGAGUGUGAAGAAUAUUCAGAAAAUUACGAAGGCAAUGAAGAUGGUUGCAGCCUCUAAGCUGCGAGCAAUUCAAGUGAGGGCUGAAAAUUCUCGUGGUCUGUGGCAGCCAUUCACUGCUCUUCUUGGUGACACACCCAGUGUGGAUGUCAAGAAGAAUGUUAUUGUUACUGUUUCCGCGGACAAGGGUCUUUGUGGUGGAAUCAACUCCACAUCAGUCAAGAUUAGCAGGGCUCUCUUCAAGUUAAAUUCAGGAGCUGAGAAAGAAAGCAAGUAUGUUGUCUUGGGAGAGAAAGCGAAGGCACAACUGAUAAGAGACUCCAAACAACACAUCGAUCUGACAAUGACAGAGCUGCAGAAGAACUUCCUUAAUUAUACUCAGGUUUCUGCACUUGCUGAUGAAAUCCUAAAGAAUGUUGAAUAUGAUGCAUUGAGGAUUGUAUUCAACAAGUUCCAGUCGGUUGUCUCAUUUUUGCCCACGACUGCAACUAUAUUUUCUCCAGAGAUUGUAGAAAGAGAAUCUGAAGCUGGCAAGCUUGGUGAUCUGGAUUUAUAUGAAGUUGAAGGUGGCGAGACAAAGUCUGAAAUUCUCCAAAAUCUGACUGAGUUUCAAUUUUCUUGUGUUAUGUUUAAUGCGGUUCUGGAGAACGCCUGUAGUGAGCAAGGAGCUAGAAUGUCUGCAAUGGAUAGUUCCAGCAGGAAUGCUGGGGAGAUGCUUGAUCGUCUCACUCUUACCUACAACAGAACCCGUCAAGCUUCAAUUACCACAGAACUGACAGAGAUUAUAUCUGGAGCAUCAGCACUUGAGGGCUGAUUGCACAACCUUUUGCAACUACUGUUUGACGGUGACAAAAUAAUUCUUUGUAAAAGGAUUUGGUGUUAAUAUCUUUGCAGAAAUUUUGUCAAGCUACCAUAAAUAAUUUCUCGUGUUGACGUUAUGAGUGGGAAUAUUUUUCUUGAUUGUUCUAUUAAGAUUAAUGUCAAUAAUACUAGUUGCAUGGAGGAUUUUUGUUUAUCAAGUUUGGCGCCUUUUAUGCUUGUGUCUUAUCAGGAUGUUGGUCUCUGCUUAAGUUCUUUCUCCAUCGAGUAUGAAGGGGGCAGUCAAGUGGUAGCCCCUAAUACACAAUGUGUUACAAUUGGAGACGUGUUUUUCCACAAGUAUCAUGGUUGUAUUGGUGUUUGGUAAUAUAUACCUGGUCAACACUCGGUUCCUGGACAAUUUUUUGGUAUGUUUAAUGUUUUUAAGACUCACCCUUCACCGAGAAAUAAGGAAUUUUUGAUCAUUAAAUCCUAGCUGCUUGUGGAAUGGAGAUUUGGGUCUUAUAUUUGUUGAUGCAAUAGUUUUUAAUAAAAAUUUAGCCUGUAUAUGUUCAAUCUUA